UUUACUUCUAUGAAUCGGAAGAGUAUCACAGAUCACUUGCUCAAAGAGAGUCAGAAUAUAUGCAUUAUAAAGUAUUUAUAAUACAUACUAGGUGGGAGUCUGGCAGCAAUAUCAGUGAGAAAAGAGCCGAGGAGAAUUCAGCCAAAGCAUUAUAGAUGUGAGUAAUCUGAACGUAUGCCUGCGAUAUAGGCAUUGAGUGGGCCUUAUGGUUAGUACCUAAGGGUCAAUUAGAGUGGUACCGCGGAACUCCGUCUCUUUU
rnacentral:ncRNA from 1 species